rnacentral:rRNA from 1 species
GACGAACGCUGGCGGCGUGCUUAACACAUGCAAGUCGAACGGAAAGGCCCAGCUUGCUGGGUACUCGAGUGGCGAACGGGUGAGUAACACGUGGGUGAUCUGCCCCUGACUUUGGGAUAAGCCUGGGAAACUGGGUCUAAUACCGGAUAUGACCUUACAUCGCAUGGGGUUUGGUGGAAAGCUUUUGCGGUUGGGGAUGGGCCCGCGGCCUAUCAGCUUGUUGGUGGGGUAAUGGCCUACCAAGGCGACGACGGGUAGCCGACCUGAGAGGGUGAUCGGCCACACUGGGACUGAGACACGGCCCAGACUCCUACGGGAGGCAGCAGUGGGGAAUAUUGCACAAUGGGCGCAAGCCUGAUGCAGCGACGCCGCGUGAGGGAUGACGGCCUUCGGGUUGUAAACCUCUUUCACCAGGGACGAAGCGUGAGUGACGGUACCUGGAGAAGAAGCACCGGCCAACUACGUGCCAGCAGCCGCAGUAACAC